rnacentral:tRNA from 1 species
GGAAUAUAGUUUAGUUGGUAGAGUGCUGCCUCGCAUGCACAAGGCUCUGGGUUCAAACCCCAGCACCA